rnacentral:rRNA from 1 species
GACGAACGCUGGCGGCGUGCUUAACACAUGCAAGUCGAGGGGCAGCAGGAAGUAGCAAUACUUUGCUGGCGACCGGCGCACGGGUGAGUAACGCGUAUGCAACCUCCCUAUCAGAGGGGGAUAACCCGGCGAAAGUCGGACUAAUACCGCAUAAAACAGGGGUCCCGCAUGGGAAUAUUUGUUAAAGAUUUAUUGCUGAUAGAUGGGCAUGCGUUCCAUUAGAUAGUUGGUAAGGUAACGGCUUACCAAGUCUGCGAUGGAUAGGGGUUCUGAGAGGAAGGUCCCCCACACUGGUACUGAGACACGGACCAGACUCCUACGGGAGGCAGCAGUGAGGAAUAUUGGUCAAUGGGCGAGAGCCUGAACCAGCCAAGUCGCGUGAAGGAUGAAGGAUCUAUGGUUCGUAAACUUCUUUUAUAAGGGAAUAAAGUGCGGGACGUGUCCUGUUUUGUAUGUACCUUAUGAAUAAGGAUCGGCUAACUCCGUGCCAGCCGCCGCAGUAA